UGGGGGAAUUUUGGACAAUGGGCGAAAGCCUGAUCCAGCAAUGCCGCGUGUGUGAAGAAGGCCUUCGGGUUGUAAAGCACUUUUGUCCGGAAAGAAAUCCUUGGCUCUAAUACAGUCGGGGGAUGACGGUACCGGAAGAAUAAGCACCGGCUAACUACGUGCCAGCAGCCGCGGUAAUACGUAGGGUGCAAGCGUUAAUCGGAAUUACUGGGCGUAAAGCGUGCGCAGGCGGUUUGCUAAGACCGAUGUGAAAUCCCCGGGCUCAACCUGGGAACUGCAUUGGUGACUGGCAGGCUAGAGUAUGGCAGAGGGGGGUAGAAUUCCACGUGUAGCAGUGAAAUGCGUAGAGAUGUGGAGGAAUACCGAUGGCGAAGGCAGCCCCCUGGGCCAAUACUGACGCUCAUGCACGAAAGCGUGGGGAGCAAACAGGAUUAGAUACCCUGGUAGUCCACGCCCUAAACGAUGUCAACUAGUUGUUGGGGACUUCAUUUCCUUAGUAACGUAGCUAACGCGUGAAGUUGACCGCCUGGGGAGUACGGUCGCAAGAUUAAAACUCAAAGGAAUUGACGGGGUCAUAGCUGUUUCCU
rnacentral:rRNA from 1 species